rnacentral:tRNA from 1 species
GGAUUGUGGCUCAGUGGUAGAGCGCUCUCCUAGCAUGCGAGGCCCUGGGUUCAAUCCUCAGCACCA